GGGGAUUUGGCUCAGUGGUAGAGCACUUGCCUAGCAAGCACAAGGCCCUGGAUUCGAUCCCCAGCUCCG
rnacentral:tRNA from 1 species